GAUGAUGAAACUCAGCUGCAGGAAAAAUAAAAGGUGAUAUUAUUACCAGGAUACUAAAUACAUUACAUAUAGACAUUCCAAGCUCGUAACCUCGACUACCUACGCAUGGAUACUAAAAUAAUAACCAAAGAUGAUCGUAUUAUAAUAAUAAAAAAGGCAGAAACUUGUUCCUGGAGGCCAAAGCAUGUUGAAUACUUUUGAGCAAUCAUCUCGCACACGAUUAGAAGCAACUGUUCCGAAAUGAAGUACACUAUUUGCUUUUUGUUGACGUUGUUUAUAUCCACUAUUUGUUACGAAUAUGACAAUGAUAAAGAAGAAUUUAAUGAAUUUUACGAGGAAUUAGAAAUGGAAGAAGAAAGUAAAAAGCCUAUAAUAUACGAUUUAAAGGACUCGAAACGUUUAUUUGAGCAAUACAUUAAGGAUUUUAACAAAUCGUAUAAGGAUGACAAGGAAUAUAAGGAACAUUACGAAAACUUCGUUGAUAAUCUCAAAUUUAUAAAUCAAGUGAACUCGUCGGGAAAAUCGUCGGUAGCUGGACUUAAUUCGUUAUCCGACAGAGAUGUGACGAGUGAAUUUGACGGAUUUUUAUAAAAGAAAUACUCUCUACGAUGAAGAAUUGAACCAUAAUAUAUGUAUAGCAAGCAUAAACUUAGAGUUAUCUAUACUGAAUAAAACAAUAAAUGAAAUUAAACUAUAAUGAA